rnacentral:rRNA from 1 species
GUCUACGGCCAUGCCACCCUGAACAUGCCCGAUCCUGUCUGAUCUCGGAAGCUAAGCAGGGUCGGGCCUGGUUAGUACAUGGAUGGGAGACCACCUAGGAAGACCAGGUGUGGUAGGUG